rnacentral:rRNA from 1 species
UUAAAUUGAAGAGUUUGAUCAUGGCUCAGAUUGAACGCUGGCGGCAGGCCUAACACAUGCAAGUCGAGCGGUAGCACAGAGAGCUUGCUCUCGGGUGACGAGCGGCGGACGGGUGAGUAAUGUCUGGGAAACUGCCUGAUGGAGGGGGAUAACUACUGGAAACGGUAGCUAAUACCGCAUAAUGUCGCAAGACCAAAGUGGGGGACCUUCGGGCCUCAUGCCAUCAGAUGUGCCCAGAUGGGAUUAGCUAGUAGGUGGGGUAACGGCUCACCUAGGCGACGAUCCCUAGCUGGUCUGAGAGGAUGACCAGCCACACUGGAACUGAGACACGGUCCAGACUCCUACGGGAGGCAGCAGUGGGGAAUAUUGCACAAUGGGCGCAAGCCUGAUGCAGCCAUGCCGCGUGUGUGAAGAAGGCCUUCGGGUUGUAAAGCACUUUCAGCGGGGAGGAAGGCGAUAAGGUUAAUAACCUUGUCGAUUGACGUUACCCGCAGAAGAAGCACCGGCUAACUCCGUGCCAGCAGCCGCGGUAAUACGGAGGGUGCAAGCGUUAAUCGGAAUUACUGGGCGUAAAGCGCACGCAGGCGGUCUGUCAAGUCGGAUGUGAAAUCCCCGGGCUCAACCUGGGAACUGCAUUCGAAACUGGCAGGCUAGAGUCUUGUAGAGGGGGGUAGAAUUCCAGGUGUAGCGGUGAAAUGCGUAGAGAUCUGGAGGAAUACCGGUGGCGAAGGCGGCCCCCUGGACAAAGACUGACGCUCAGGUGCGAAAGCGUGGGGAGCAAACAGGAUUAGAUACCCUGGUAGUCCACGCCGUAAACGAUGUCGAUUUGGAGGUUGUGCCCUUGAGGCGUGGCUUCCGGAGCUAACGCGUUAAAUCGACCGCCUGGGGAGUACGGCCGCAAGGUUAAAACUCAAAUGAAUUGACGGGGGCCCGCACAAGCGGUGGAGCAUGUGGUUUAAUUCGAUGCAACGCGAAGAACCUUACCUGGUCUUGACAUCCACAGAACUUAGCAGAGAUGCUUUGGUGCCUUCGGGAACUGUGAGACAGGUGCUGCAUGGCUGUCGUCAGCUCGUGUUGUGAAAUGUUGGGUUAAGUCCCGCAACGAGCGCAACCCUUAUCCUUUGUUGCCAGCGGUUAGGCCGGGAACUCAAAGGAGACUGCCAGUGAUAAACUGGAGGAAGGUGGGGAUGACGUCAAGUCAUCAUGGCCCUUACGACCAGGGCUACACACGUGCUACAAUGGCAUAUACAAAGAGAAGCGACCUCGCGAGAGCAAGCGGACCUCAUAAAGUAUGUCGUAGUCCGGAUUGGAGUCUGCAACUCGACUCCAUGAAGUCGGAAUCGCUAGUAAUCGUAGAUCAGAAUGCUACGGUGAAUACGUUCCCGGGCCUUGUACACACCGCCCGUCACACCAUGGGAGUGGGUUGCAAAAGAAGUAGGUAGCUUAACCUUCGGGAGGGCGCUUACCACUUUGUGAUUCAUGACUGGGGUGAAGUCGUAACAAGGUAACCGUAGGGGAACCUGCGGUUGGAUCACCUCCUUACC